rnacentral:rRNA from 1 species
GUGGGGAAUUUUGGACAAUGGGCGAAACCCUGAUCCAGCCAUGCCGCGUGUGUGAAGAAGGCCUUCGGGUUGUAAAGCACUUUAAGCAGGGAGGAAAGGGUAAUGGCUAAUAUCCAUUAUCAUUGACGUUACCUGCAGAAUAAGCACCGGCUAACUUCGUGCCAGCAGCCGCGGUAAUACGAAGGGUGCAAGCGUUAAUCGGAAUUACUGGGCGUAAAGCGCGCGUAGGUGGUUUUGUAAGUUGGAGGUGAAAUCCCCGGGCUCAACCUGGGAACUGCCUCCAAAACUGCAUGACUAGAGUACGGUAGAGGGUAGUGGAAUUUCCUGUGUAGCGGUGAAAUGCGUAGAUAUAGGAAGGAACACCAGUGGCGAAGGCGACUACCUGGACUGAUACUGACACUGAGGUGCGAAAGCGUGGGGAGCAAACAGGAUUAGAUACCCUAGUAGUCC